rnacentral:rRNA from 1 species
ACGGGAGGCAGCAGUGGGGGAUAUUGCACAAUGGGGGAAACCCUGAUGCAGCGACGCCGCGUGAGUGAAGAAGUAUUUCGGUAUGUAAAGCUCUAUCAGCAAGGAAGAAAAUGACGGUACUUGACUAAGAAGCUCCGGCUAAAUACGUGCCAGCAGCCGCGGUAAUACGUAUGGAGCAAGCGUUAUCCGGAUUUACUGGGUGUAAAGGGAGCGUAGACGGCAAAGCAAGUCUGAAGUGAAAUCCCGGGGCUCACCCCCGGAACUGCUUUGGAAACUGUUUAGCUAGAGUGCAGGAGAGGUAAGCGGAAUUCCUAGUGUAGCGGUGAAAUGCGUAGAUAUUAGGAGGAACACCAGUGGCGAAGGCGGCUUACUGGACUGUAACUGACGUUGAGGCUCGAAAGCGUGGGGAGCAAACAGGAUUAGAUACCCUGGUA